UUUCCGUAGGUGAACCUGCGGAAGGAUCAUUACUGAAUAACCGACGAGCAAGGGCUGUUGCUCACCCGAUAGGUUGUGCACGCCCGAGUGCCCUCACACCUCCAACUCACCCCUACGUGCACCACCGCGCGAAUCCCCCUUUGUCUUGUUCGGACGGGGGCUUACGUUUAACCACAAACUCUGUACGUAGUGCAGAAGGUAUUUUUUGUUUUUGCGAGCAGGCAAACACAACAACUUUCAAGAACAGAUCUCUUGACUCCCGCAUCGUUGAAGCACGCC
rnacentral:misc_RNA from 1 species